rnacentral:rRNA from 1 species
UACGUAGGGUGCAAGCGUUGUCCGGAAUUAUUGGGCGUAAAGAGCUCGUAGGCGGUUUGUCGCGUCUGCUGUGAAAACUCGGGGCUUAACUCCGGGCCUGCAGUGGGUACGGGCAGACUAGAGUGCGGUAGGGGAGACUGGAAUUCCUGGUGUAGCGGUGAAAUGUGUAGAGAUCGGGAGGAACACCGGUGGCGAAGGCGGGUCUCUGGGCAUCUCCUGACGCUGAGGCGCGAAAGCGUGGGGAGCAAACGGG